rfam:Fusarium oxysporum f. sp. lycopersici 4287 chromosome 1, whole genome shotgun sequence.
ACAUACGACCAAAGCUCAGAGAGAAUACGGGAUCCCGUCCGCUCUCCCAUCGUCAAGCUCCGAAGCGCCGGAUUAGUAGUUGGGUCGGUGACGACCAGCGAAUACCUGGUGUUGUAUGUU